UGAGCAAUCUGCCCUUCUCUUCGGAAUAAGCGUUGGAAACGACGUCUAAUGCCGAAUACGACCUCCUUUCGCAUGAUCGGAGGUGGAAAGCUCCGGCGGAGAAGGAUGAGCUCGCGGCCUAUCAGCUAGUUGGUGUGGGUAAUGGCCCACCAAGGCGACGACGGGUAGCCGGCCUGAGAGGGUGACCGGCCACACUGGGACUGAGACACAGCCCAGACCUCCGUAGGGAGG
rnacentral:rRNA from 1 species